CUACAAUGGGCGGUACAGAGGGUUGCUACACAGCGAUGUGAUGCCAAUCCCAAAAAGCCGUUCUCAGUUCGGAUUGGAGUCUGCAACUCGACUCUAUGAAGCUGGAAUCGCUAGUAAUCGCGUAUCAGCUAUGACGCGGUGAAUACGUUCCCGGACCUUGUACACACCGCCCGUCAAGCCAUGGGAGUCGGGGAGACCUGAAGCGGUAGGUUAAAGACACCGUUAGGGUAAAAUCGGCGACUGGGGCUAAGUCGUAACAAGGUAGCCGUACCGGAAGGUGCGGCUGGAACACCUCCUUU
rnacentral:ncRNA from 1 species